ACGCUAAUACGCAUACGCUCUACGGAGGAAAGCGGGGAUCUUCGGGACCUCGUGCUACUAGAUGGGCCUAUAUUGGAUUAGCUAGUUGGUAGGGUAAAGGCCUACCAAGGCGACGAUCCAUAGCUGGUUUGAGAGAAUGAUCAGCCACACUGGGACUGAGACACGGCCCAG
rnacentral:rRNA from 1 species